rnacentral:rRNA from 1 species
GUUGGGUAGGGGAGCGUUCUGUAAGCCUGCGAAGGUGGCCUGUGAGGGUUGCUGGAGGUAUCAGAAGUGCGAAUGCUGACAUAAGUAACGAUAAAGCGGGUGAAAAGCCCGCUCGCCGGAAGACCAAGGGUUCCUGUCCAACGUUAAUCGGGGCAGGGUGAGUCGACCCCUAAGGCGAGGCCGAAAGGCGUAGUCGAUGGGAAACGGGUUAAUAUUCCCGUACUUGGUGUUACUGCGAAGGGGGGACGGAGAAGGCUAUGUUGGCCGGGCGACGGUUGUCCCGGUUUAAGCGUGUAGGUGUGUGUUCCAGGUAAAUCCGGUUCACUUUAACACUGAGGCGUGAUGACGAGGCACUACGGUGCUGAAGCAACAAAUGCCCUGCUUCCAGGAAAAGCCUCUAAGCAUCAGGUAACAUCAAAUCGUACCCCAAACCGACACAGGUGGUCAGGUAGAGAAUACCAAGGCGCUUGAGAGAACUCGGGUGAAGGAACUAGGCAAAAUGGUGCCGUAACUUCGGGAGAAGGCACGCUGACACGUAGGUGAAGUGAUUUACUCA